rnacentral:rRNA from 1 species
AUAUAGGUCAAGCUACAAAGGGCGCAUGGUGAAUGCCUUGGCAUCAGGAGCCGAUGAAGGACGUGAUAAGCUGCGAUAAGCUUCGGGUAGGCGCACAUAGCCUGAGAUCCGAAGAUCUCCGAAUGAGGAAACUCACAUGGGAAACCCCAUGUAUCAUUAAGUGAAUACAUAGCUUAAUGAAGGUAACCCAGGGAACUGAAACAUCUAAGUACCUGGAGGAAGAGAAAGAAAAAUCGAUUUUCUUAGUAGCGGCGAGCGAAAGGGAAAGAGCCCAAACCGGAAACUUGUUUCCGGGGUUGUGGACAUAACAUAAAAGUGGAGGCUAUUGUAACUGAAGAGAACUGGAAAGUUCCACCGUAGAAGGUAAUAGUCCUGUAAGUGAAACGAGAAGACCACGAGUUAUGAUCCAGAGUACCACGAGACACGUGAAACCUUGUGGGAAGCAGGGAGGACCACCUCCCAAGGCUAAAUACUACCUGAUGACCGAUAGUGAAGCAGUACCGUGAGGGAAAGGUGAAAAGAACCCCGGGAGGGGAGUGAAAUAGAACCUGAAACCGUGUGCCUACAACCGCUCAGAGCCCCUUAUGAGGGUGAUGAGGUGCUUUUUGUAGAACGAGCCAACGAGUUACGGUAUGUAGCAAGGUUAAGUACUUAAGGUACGGAGCCGAAGGGAAACCGAGUCUGAAUAGGGCGACUAGUUGCAUGCCGUAGACCCGAAACCGGGUGACCUAUCCAUGGCCAGGUUGAAGCGAGGGUAAAACCUCGUGGAGGACCGAACCACGUUGCUGUUGAAAAAGCAUGGGAUGAGCUGUGGAUAGCGGAGAAAUUCCAAUCGAACCCGGAGAUAGCUGGUUCUCUCCGAAAUAGCUUUAGGGCUAGCGUCGAGUAUGAGUAGUGGAGGUAGAGCACUGAAUGGGCUAGGGGGCAUAGCGCUUACCGAACCUUAUCAAACUCCGAAUGCCACAUACUUUGAGCUCGGCAGUCAGACUACGAAUGAUAAGAUCCGUGGUCAAAAGGGAAACAGCCCAGAUCGUCAGCUAAGGUCCCAAAGUGUAAGUUAAGUGGGAAAGGAUGUGAGAUUUCUAAGACAACUAGGAUGUUGGCUUAGAAGCAGCCAUUCAUUAAAAGAGUGCGUAAUAGCUCACUAGUCGAGAGAUCUUGCGCCGAAAAUGU